GAAAACCUCCCGGAAUCCGAAUCAGGCGGUUGUGGCCGUUCGAUCCGGAUCAACCCCGCUUUACCGCAAACCGUUAUCGGUUUGUCCACUGGACGCCCUAAUCUAUUUAUCCGAGACGUCCGAUCUAAUCGGAGGGUCGAAAUGCCCCUAAAGCUAACCCAUGUUCUAUAAUUAUAGUCCAACCUAGAGCUAACCCUAGUCUAGUCUGUCCCAUCCACUGAUGUUGCACCACCUGGUCUCUCCCUCCUCCGCAUCUCCUCCCAAACCAAAGGUGCCGCCGCCCAAUGUGUUGCAUGUCCAGCCAACCCUGUAGCUCCUUCUGUCCCUUGUCGCGUUCAGCACUGGAAGCCCUGCUUGGGUUCGAGAGGAGCCCGUCCCCGAGCUGCCUCCUCUCCCCUCGAUCUGGAUUGGAUCUGAGCGCUAGGACCUCCUCUCGGUCCCGAUUGGAUCUGAGCGCCAGGACCUCCUCUAGAUCCCCUCCUCGUUCCCCCGCCUCGAUCUGGUCGAGAUCUCCAGCGCCGCAACAAGCAGAUCGUGAG
rnacentral:lncRNA from 1 species